GGCAUGGUGGCUCAGUGGUUAGGGCGCCCGCCUCAUGAACUGGAGGUCGUGGGUUCGAACCCCGGCCAAGUCA
rfam:Strongylocentrotus purpuratus Contig31807_fixed, whole genome shotgun sequence.